GAAACAUGUAGCUGUUCAGAUGACCCAGUCUCCCAUCAUUGCUGCUCCUGUGCUCGGUUGAUCCGGGCCAAGCCGAGCAGUCAGGAGCCCAGUACAUGGGGCAGACCAGGCCUUCCACAGUGUGAGAUGCUAGGCCUCCCACAGGGCUUCCCUGACAGGCCACAGCAAGAGGUGUAGGGUGGGUCGCAGUCACAGACCCCACCACCGGCCCUGGCCAUGGCAUUAUGAAUAUAGACGUGGAGUUCCACAUCAGGCACAACUACCCCUGGUGCAAGUUGCCAGCCAACAUGAGACAGAGACUUGGAAAUUCACAGAGAGAAUAUGAAAAGCAGGUUGUCCUGUACAGUAUCUGCAAUCAGUUACGAUAUUGAAAUAAACAUGUCAAGCAAGAUGAACACAGAUACUAUGAGGAACUGCUAAAGUACAGCCAAGAUCAUCUCAUGCUGUACCCUUACCAUUUAUUGGAUAUUAUGGUGAAAGUCUUGAGGAUAACACCAUUUUCAUCUUAUACUGGGAUUAUGGAGGAUAUUAUGAAUAAUGAGAAAAGUUAUGAUUCAUUGCCCAAUUUUACUGCUGCUGUCUAAGGCUUCUUGGCAUAGGAAGAAACCAGUAUAUUGACCUUAUGAAUCAGUGUAGAUCAUCAAAAAAAUUCUUCAGAAGGAAAACAGCCAUAGUCUUCUACCAAUAAAGCCAAUGGAAAUUGCCAUAGAGGCGUGGUGGGUGGUGCAGGCUGGAUAUAUCACAGAAGAUGACAUCGAGAUAUGCAUUUUGCCUGAGAAAUUCACUAUUGAUAAGAUCAUCCAUUCAGGUCCUCAACUCUCUGGAUCACUAGAUUACAAUGUAGUAUACAGUUUCUAUAACAAAGGAUUUAUAUAUCUGGAUGUACCAAUAUCUGAUAUUUGUAUAGCAGUUCCUCCUCUUGAAGGUGUUGUAAUGAAUCAAGUGCAAGGUGAUUAUAUUGAAACUCUAGAAGAUAUUUGUUUCAAUAGAUGAGCACACAAAUGUUGCAGAGCUUGCAAAUGUCCUUGAGAUUGACUUAACCCUGGUUAAGAAUGUUGUUUCAAUGUAUUGCCGAUUGGGCUUUGCCCAUAAGAAGAGACAAGUAAUAAAUUUGGAUCAACUUCAUUCAUCAUGGAAGAAUGUUCCAUCCGUAAACAGAUUAAAGAGUACCUUAAGUCUGCAGAAGAUGCUCUUGUCAUGGGAUGGAGGGGAAAGUAGGAGUCUUGUACAAGAAGCUUCAUCGGCAACUGACACUGAUACAAAUAGUCAAGAAUAUCCAGCUGACAUAGCCAGCAUAAGAAGCCUGAGUCUGUCUACAGGACACACAAGUGCAUUUCAUUCCUGUUUGACUCCACUCUUACUGCCUUCUUAAUGAUGGAAAAUCUUUCACCAAACUUGAAAAGUCAUGCAGUCACAAUGUUUGAAGUACAUAAACUCUCAGAUGAGUCUCUGGACAGCUUUCUAAUAGAACUAGAAAAGGUUCAGAGCACUGGUGAAGGAGAAGCACAGAGAUAUCUUGAUCAUGUACUUACUCUGAGAAACACAAUACUGUUUCUGUGUCAUAACAAAGAUCUAGUUGCACAAACUGCACAGCCAGACCGACCAAAUUAUGGUUUUCCUCUGGAUCUCCUACACUGUGAAAGCCUUCUUGGUUUGGACCCUGCAACUUGCAGCAGUGUUCUAAAUAAAAAUUGCAUGCUGCUUGUUUCCAUGGCUCCCCUCACCAAUAAAAUCUGGCCCAUCAGCAGCUGCACCCCUCAGCAUAUUGAACCAGCUAUCCCAGAAGUCAGCUCUGUCUGGUUUAAACUGUACAUUUAUCAUAUCACUGGGCAAGGACCACCAACCCUUUUAUUGUCCAAAGGUACAAGACUUUGAAAACUGCCAGAUACAUUUCAGAGUUAUGAUUGAUUACUAACAAUAUCUUGGGAUCAUGAUCCUGGAGUAGUUCCUAUCAAAUGUACUCAUGAUGUUGAAUGAUGCUUUAACACAUUCUGCAGUUUUAAUGCUCUGCAUGCAAUAGGAGAAACUGUCCAUGUUCCAUUUCCAUUUGAUGAAACAGAAUUACAAGGAGCUUCACUCAUGUUCAUAAAGCAUUGCAGAUAUUAAGGGAAAAAAUGGACUUACACCAUUUCUGUGGCUAUGUCACUAUGUUGAAUGCUUCCAGCCAACCUGCAAAUAGAAAACUCAGUGAUGCUUCUGAUGAGAGAGGAGGACCUGAUUUGGCUUCUGGCCCAGAUGUAAAUGGGAGCACAGAAUCAUUUGAAACAGCCACUGAGGAAGCAACUAUAUAUUCAGCAACAAAGCAAACCUCUGAUUCCACAACGGAAGCAGAUUGGGUUCCUCUUUAGCUGUGCUUUGGAAUUCCACUGUUCAGUUCUGAAUUAAACCAGAAAGUUUGUAGGAAAAUUGCUACACAUGGCCUUUGCAGAAAAGAGAGCCUUCAAAACCUCUUACAUUCUAGUAGAAAACUCUCUGCAAGUCCUUAACUUUGUUCACUCAUUCCAGGAAGGUGCUUCAACAUUGGAUAUUCACAAUGAGCUAGUUUUUCAAGUUUGCUUUCACAGUCAUCAUACACUGACAUGGGUGUUCCACUUCCUGCAAAAAGCUUAAUAUUUAAAGAUGGUGUCUUAUCAGACUGGAGUGGAUGGCCACCUUCCUCAUUUCUUAUUGCUAAUCUCCCUUUGCAAUAAUUUGGUUAUACCAUUUGUUGCUCACACGUUCUGCCUUUUUGUUUCUUAAUGUUAGCUUUAUAGUGUCAGCCACUAAAAAGUAUCUUGCUGCUGCAGUGCAAUUCUUGCUUAACUAAUAUUAAAAGUUUGGGGAACAUAUUCAUGUUUUCUGAAAUUUUGCUCAUUAUUGCACCAAAGUGCUUUUUAGCAGCAAACACUGUAUUUUUACCUUGAGACAAUCUGCAUUUCUUUUAUAAAACUAAGUAUUUAUAGUUUUAUGAUGACUUAUGUUUAUAAGCAGUCACUAUGAAAAUUGCAAUGGUAAUUUUAUAUGUUAGCUUAUCAAACAUCAAUCAUAUUGAAUUUUAUAUUUGGUUAAAUCUUAUUUAAUUUUAUAUUUUGUUACCUAUACUUUGGGUGAUCAAGGGAAGAGAUGGGAUUCUUCCUCUGAAAAGGCUUCUUGCUACUUAAAGUAGUAAAACUAUAAAACAGUAAACAUCCAGUAUUGAGAGAUGAUAUGAUAGGUCAUUAUGAAUUCCUAUGGGUGUCUGUAAAUUAUGCAUAGUUGGACAUUGUAGAUGGUAUGUAAAUCAGCAUAGUUCUGUAUAACUUAACCUUGAUUCAUAAGGUCUUAACUCAGGUUAUGCUAUUCAUUAACAUCUCAUGAAAAGCUUUAGAAAAAUUUCAAUUUUUAAACAUUAUUUAUAUGUGGACUUCUGUUGUCACUGACUUUGAGCUUUAUAUUUUCAUAGAGUCUUUAUGGAAAAAAUAGAAUUUAUUUUCCACUCUUGUAGCUAUGGCUGCUGCACAUUUUCACCCUGAUUUAUUUUUUUGUUUCUUAGCUUUGAUGUUUUCAAACCAAGGAUUGUGAUUUUAGGUUAUAAUUACAUUUUAGAAGCAUUAAGGCUAUGUCUUUGGAUCAAAAUCCUGUAGUGAUAAACCUACUUUGAAGACAUACUCUUAAGCAGUCUGGAUCUUAAAUUUAUGUGAAUACUUUUUUAGAAAAUGAUGAAGAAAAAUUGAAUUAUUUCAAAGUGUUCCUUGAGACAUUGAUUUUUUUAGUAUUGCAAAUGUUAAUUAGAAUAAUUGGAAUCACUUUUUAGACUUUUCAAGUUACCUUCCUUGGGAAGUUUGUGCAGUGUUAUAAUUUAGUUUAGCUCCUCUUAUAGGGCAAUGGUUUGCUAGUUUAAUUUUGUAACCAAACUAACCGGUCAGACAACAUGUAUCUAAAACACUUAAAAUGUUAGCAAAUUUGGGAAUGUUAUAAAUCUUUUUCCUGAUAACUUUUUGUUAUUUAUAGAUAUUUGUGUAUUUAACAUACUUACUUCUGGAAAUAUAUGCCUUUCCUAAAACUUAACUAUGUGUUCAAUACCUUGGCCUGUCUAUAGAAUUGAAUAUUUUGGACCAUGUUAUCUGUGGCACAGUCAGUGCUGUGUUUGGGGUAAAUGCAGUAAUGGUUAGUUUUCUACUUUGUCUUAUAGAAGGUAGAAACCAUGUGCAUGUUAUGUUUGUCUAUAAAAGAAAAAAUACUAGUGUUAAAUAAUUUCUUA